CGGAGAGUCCUUUCCAUUAUCGGGAUUGAGCAGGUUGUUGCCAAAUCUGUUAAGUCAACUGGUGAAUCCACAACAGUUCCAAACACUGGUUAUGCUGGAUUGGCUCGAUCUUCAUCUUGGUUUGAUAUGAAUGGAGGACAUUUACCUCUGACUUUUAGAACUCCUCCUGUUAGUCCGCCGCGGCCUAGUUACUUGACAGGAAUGCGAAGAGUUUGUUCUUUAGAGUUCAG
rnacentral:misc_RNA from 1 species